rnacentral:rRNA from 1 species
AACGAACGCUGGCGGCAUGCCUAACACAUGCCAGUCGAACGAGACCUUCGGGUCUAGUGGCGCACGGGUUCGUAACGCGUGGGAACCUGCCCUUAGGUUCGGAAUAACUCCCCGAAAGGGGUGCUAAUACCGGAUAAUGUCUUCGGACCAAAGAUUUAUCGCCUUUGGAUGGGCCCGCGUUGGAUUAGCUAGUUGGUAGGGUAAAAGCCUACCAAGGCGACGAUCCAUAGCUGGUCUGAGAGGAUGAUCAGCCACACUGGGACUGAGACACGGCCCAGACUCCUACGGGAGGCAGCAGUGGGGAAUAUUGGACAAUGGGCGAAAGCCUGAUCCAGCAAUGCCGCGUGAGUGAUGAAGGCCUUAGGGUUGUAAAGCUCUUUUACCCGGGAUGAUAAUGACAGUACCGGGAGAAUAAGCUCCGGCUAACUCCGUG